rnacentral:tRNA from 1 species
CGGGAAGUGGCGCAGCUUGGUAGCGCGCAGCGUUCGGGACGCUGAGGCCGCGGGUUCAAGUCCCGCCUUCCCGA